rnacentral:rRNA from 1 species
UGGGGAAUUUUGGACAAUGGGCGAAAGCCUGAUCCAGCAAUGCCGCGUGUGUGAAGAAGGCCUUCGGGUUGUAAAGCACUUUUGUCCGGAAAGAAAUGGCUCUGGUUAAUACCUGGGGUCGAUGACGGUACCGGAAGAAUAAGGACCGGCUAACUACGUGCCAGCAGCCGCGGUAAUACGUAGGGUCCAAGCGUUAAUCGGAAUUACUGGGCGUAAAGCGUGCGCAGGCGGUUGUGCAAGACCGAUGUGAAAUCCCCGAGCUUAACUUGGGAAUUGCAUUGGUGACUGGACGGCUAGAGUGUGUCAGAGGGGGGUAGAAUUCCACGUGUAGCAGUGAAGUGCGUAGAGAUGUGGAGGAAUACCGAUGGCGAAGGCAGCCCCCUGGGAUAACACUGGCGCUCAUGCACGAAAGCGUGGGUAGCAAACAGG